rnacentral:rRNA from 1 species
GCCUACGGGCGCAGCAGUGAGGAAUAUUGGUCAAUGGUCGGGAGACUGAACCAGCCAAGCCGCGUGAGGGAUGAAGGUACAGAGUAUCGUAAACCUCUUUUGUCAGGGAACAAAGGCGGGAACGUGUCCCCGGAUGAGUGUACCUGAAGAAAAAGCAUCGGCUAACUACGUGCCAGCAGCCGCGGUAAUACGUAGGGUGCGAGCGUUAAUCGGAAUUACUGGGCGUAAAGGGUGUGCAGGCGGCUGAGUAAGACAGAUGUGAAAUCCCCGGGCUUAACCUGGGAACCGCAUAUGUGACUGCUUGG